UAGGGAAUCUUCCGCAAUGGGCGAAAGCCUGACGGAGCAACGCCGCGUGAGUGAAGAAGGAUUUCGGUUUGUAAAGCUCUGUUGUUAGGGAAGAAUGAUUGUGUAGUAACUAUACACAGUAGAGACGGUACCUAACCAGAAAGCCACGGCUAACUACGUGCCAGCAGCCGCGGUAAUACGUAGGUGGCAAGCGUUGUCCGGAAUUAUUGGGCGUAAAGCGCGCGCAGGUGGUUUAAUAAGUCUGAUGUGGAAGCCCACGGCUCAACCGUGGAGGGUCAUUGGAAACUGUUAAACUUGAGUGCAGGAGAGAAAAGUGGAAUUCCUAGUGUAGCGGUGAAAUGCGUAGAGAUUAGGAGGAACACCAGUGGCGAAGGCGGCUUUUUGGCCUGUAACUGACACUGAGGCGCGAAAGCGUGGGGAGCAAACAGGAUUAGAUACCCUGGUAGUCCACGCCGUAAACGAUGAGUGCUAGGUGUUGGUCUCAUAAGAGAUCAGUGCUGUAGCUAACGCAUUAAGCACUCCGCCUGGGGAGUACGACCGCAAGGUUG
rnacentral:rRNA from 1 species